GGAGGGAUAGCUCAAGUGGUAGAGUGCAUGCUUAGCAUGAGGGAGGUCCUAGGUUCAAUCCCCAGUGCCUCCG
rnacentral:tRNA from 1 species